rnacentral:rRNA from 1 species
AUUGAACGCUGGCGGCAUGCCUUACACAUGCAAGUCGAACGGCAGCACGGGAGCAAUCCUGGUGGCGAGUGGCGAACGGGUGAGUAAUAUAUCGGAACGUGCCCAGUCGUGGGGAUAACGUAGCGAAAGCUACGCUAAUACCGCAUACGAUCUAUGGAUGAAAGCGGGGGAUCGCAAGACCUCGCGCGAUUGGAGCGGCCGAUAUCAGAUUAGGUAGUUGGUGAGGUAAAGGCUCACCAAGCCGACGAUCUGUAGCUGGUCUGAGAGGACGACCAGCCACACUGGGACUGAGACACGGCCCAGACUCCUACGGGAGGCAGCAGUGGGGAAUAUUGGACAAUGGGCGAAGACCUGAUCCAGCCACUGCCGCGUGUGUGAAGAAGGUCUUCGGAUUGUAAGACGUCUUUUG